AGUGAACGCUGGCGGCGUGCCUAAUACAUGCAAGUCGAACGGAGUGGCGCACGGGUGAGUAAUAUAUAGCUAAUCUGCCUCUUGCUGGAGGACAACAGUUAGAAAUGACUGCUAAUACUCCAUAGCAAGGGAUGUGACUAUAUCGUAUCAGCUAGUCGGUGGGUAACGGCCUACCGAGGCUAUGACGCGUAACUGGUCUGAGAGGAUGAUCAGUCAAAUUGGAACUGAGGCACGGUCCAGACUCCUACGGGAGGGAGCAGUAGGGAAUAGGGCGCAAGGGGGGGAACCCUGGCGGGGCAACGGAGCGUAGAGGAUGGCAAUUUUCGGAGCGUAAACGCCUUUUGUUAGGGGAGCGGUACCUAACGAAUAAGCACCGGCUAACUCCGUGCCAGCAGCCGCGGUAAUAC
rnacentral:rRNA from 1 species